GGCCGUGCUGGAUGAGCUGACCGGGCUGCUGGAGUCGGCCGGGUCUGCCGGGUCGGCCGGUUCUGCUCCGGUCGUCGUCG
rnacentral:tRNA from 1 species